GACGAACGCUGGCGGCGUGCUUAACACAUGCAAGUCGAGCGGAAAGGCCUUUCGGGGUACUCGAGCGGCGAACGGGUGAGUAACACGUGAGUAAUCUGCCCUUGGCUUUGGGAUAAGCCCCGGAAACGGGGUCUAAUACCGGAUAUGACCAAUCUCAGCAUGGAGUGUUGGUGGAAAGUUUUUUCGGCCAGGGAUGUGCUGGCGGCCUAUCAGCUUGUCGGUGGGGUAAUGGCCUACCAAGGCUUCGACGGGUAGCCGGCCUGAGAGGGUGGCCGGCCACACUGGGACUGAGACACGGCCCAGACUCCUACGGGAGGCAGCAGUGGGGAAUAUUGGACAAUGGGCGGAAGCCUGAUCCAGCAACGCCGCGUGAGGGAUGACGGCCUUCGGGUUGUAAACCUCUUUCAGUACCGACGAAGCGCCGAUGAUGGUGGUGACGGUAGGUACAGAAGAAGCACCGGCCAACUACGUGCCAGCAGCCGCAGUAA
rnacentral:rRNA from 1 species